rnacentral:rRNA from 1 species
AGUGAACGCUGGCGGUAGGCCUAACACAUGCAAGUCGAACGGCAGCACAGUAAGAGCUUGCUCUUACGGGUGGCGAGUGGCGGACGGGUGAGGAAUACAUCGGAAUCUACUUUUUCGUGGGGGAUAACGUAGGGAAACUUACGCUAAUACCGCAUACGACCUACGGGUGAAAGCAGGGGAUCUUCGGACCUUGCGCGAUUGAAUGAGCCGAUGUCGGAUUAGCUAGUUGGCGGGGUAAAGGCCCACCAAGGCGACGAUCCGUAGCUGGUCUGAGAGGAUGAUCAGCCACACUGGAACUGGGACACGGUCCAGACUCCUACGGGAGGCAGCAGUGGGGAAUAUUGGACAAUGGGCGCAAGCCUGAUCCAGCCAUACCGCGUGGGUGAAGAAGGCCUUCGGGUUGUAAAGCCCUUUUGUUGGGACAGAAAAGCAGCAGGUUAAUACCCCGCUGUUCUGACGGUACCCAAAGAAUAAGCACCGGCUAACUUCGUG